UAGCAUAUCAUAGCGAGAAAAGAACCCAACAGGGAUUGCCUCAGUAACGGCGAGUGAAGCGGCAACAGCUCAAAUUUGAAAUCUGGCCCUCACGGUCCGAGUUGUAAUUUGUAGAGGAUGCUUCGAGCAUGGUCUGGCCUAAGUUCCUUGGAACAGGACGUCAUAGAGGGUGAGAAUCCCGUAUGCGGCCAGGUGCCUACGCUCAUGUGAAGCUCCUUCGACGAGUCGAGUUGUUUGGGAAUGCAGCUCAAAAUGGGUGGUAAAUUUCAUCUAAAGCUAAAUAUUGGCCAGAGACCGAUAGCGCACAAGUAGAGUGAUCGAAAGAUGAAAAGCACUUUGGAAAGAGAGUUAAACAGUACGUGAAAUUGUUGAAAGGGAAGCGCUUGCAACCAGACUUGCGCGCGGCCGAUCAUCCGGUGUUCUCACCGGUGCACUCGGUCGCGCUCAGGCCAGCAUCGGUUUCGGUGGUUGGAUAAAGGCCCUAGGAAUGUAGCUUCUCUCGGGGAGUGUUAUAGCCUAGGGUGCAAUGCAGCCCACCGGGACCGAGGACCGCGCUUCGGCUAGGAUGCUGGCGUAAUGGUUGUAAGCGACCCGUCUUGAAACACGGACCAAGGAGUCUAACAUCUAUGCGAGUGUUUGGGUGUCAAACCCAUACGCGUAAUGAAAGUGAACGGAGGUGAGAACCCUUAAGGGUGCAUCAUCGACCGAUCCUGAUGUCUUCGGAUGGAUUUGAGUAAGAGCAUGGCUGUUGGGACCCGAAAGAUGGUGAACUAUGCCUGAAUAGGGUGAAGCCAGAGGAAACACUGGUGGAGGCUCGCAGCGGUUCUGACGUGCAAAUCGAUCGUCAAAUUUGGCAUAGGGCGAAAG
rnacentral:rRNA from 1 species